CUCAUGGCGAGUUCGAUCCUGGCUCAGGAUGAAUGCUAGCGGCAUGCUUAACACAUGCAAGUCGGACUGGAAGUGGUGUUUCCAGUGGCGGACAGGUGAGUAACGCGUAAGAACUUGCCCUUGGGAGGGGAACAACAACUGAAAACUGCUGCUAAUACCCCGUAGGCUGAGGAGCAAAAGGAGGAAUCUGCCCAAGGAGAGGCUCGCGUCUGAUUAGCUAUUUGGUGAGGCAAUAGAUUACCAAGGUGAUGAUCAGUAGCUGGUCCAAGAGGAUGAUCGGCCACACUGGGACUGAGACACGACCCAGACUCCUACGAGAGGCAAUAAUGGGGAACUUUCUGCAAUGGGCGAAAGCUUGACAGAGCAAUGCCGAGUGGAGGUAGAAGGCCCAUGGGUCAUGAACUUCUUUUCCCAGAGAAGAAGCAAUGACGGUAUCCAAGGAAUAAGCAUCGGCUAACUUUGUGCCAGCAGCCACGGUAAGACAGAGGAUGCAAGCAUUAUCUGGAAUGCUUGGGCGUAAAGCGUUUGUAGGUGGCUUUUCAAGUCCGCCGUCAAAUCCCAGGGCUCAACCCUGGACAGGUGAUGGAAACUACCAAGCUGGAGUACGAUAGGGGUGGAGGGAAUUUUCGGUAGAGCGGUGAAAUGAGUAGAGAUCAGAAAGAACACAACGGCGAAAGCACUCUGCUGGGCCGACACUGACACUGAGAGACGAAAGCUAGGGGAGUGAAUGGGAUUAGAUACCCAAUAUUCCCAGCCAUAAACGAUGGAUACUAGGCAUUGUGUGUAUCGACCAGUGCAGUGUUGUAGCUAACGCGUUAAGUAUCCCGCCUGGGGAGUAUGUUCGGAAGAAUGAAACUCAAAGGAAUUGAUGGGGGCCCGCACAAGCAGUGGAGCAUGUGGUUUAAUUCGAUGCAAAGCGAAAAACCUUACCAGGGCUUGACAUGCUACGAAUCCUCUUAAAAGAUAGGGGUUCCUUAGGGAAUGCGAAAGCAGGUGGUGCAUGGCUGUCGUCAGCUCGUGCCGUAAGGUGUUGGGUUAAGUCCCACAACGAGCGCAACCCUCGUGUUUAGUUGCCACCAUUGAGUUUGGAACCUUGAACAGACUCCCGGUGAUAAGCCAGAGGAAUGUGAGGAUGACGUCAAGUCAUCAUGACUUUAUGCCCUGGGCAACACACGUGCUACAAUGGCCGGGACAAACUGUCGCGAUCCCUUAUGGGUGAGCUAACUCCAAAACCCGUCCUCAGUUCAGAUUGUAGGCUGCAACUCGCCUGGAUGAAGCCAAAAUCGCUAGUAAUCACCAAUCAGCCAUACGACGGUGAAUUUGUUCCCUGGCCUUGUACACACCGCCCGCCACACUAUAGGAGUUGGCCAUGCCCAAAGUUGUUACCUUAACCACAAGGAGGGGGAUGUCGAAGGCGAGGCUAGUGACUGGAGUGAAGUCGUAACAAGGUAGCCAUACUGAAAGGUGCGACUGGAUCACCUCCUUU
rfam:Amborella trichopoda AMTR_V1.0_contig_6972, whole genome shotgun sequence.